UAUAGCAAUUUUAAAUGUUUAUUAAGCAUGUACCUAUAAAGCUCUUAUGUUUCAUGAUGCAAUGUUUAUCAAAAAUUCGGACGUCAUUUUUGCAAACAAAACAGUAAAAUGAAAAUGAAAACAGAGAUAUACUGAAUAACAUGAUUUUAUUGAUUGAAUGGCCUCUGAAUAGGCAUUUAGAUCAGGAAGCAAUCCCUGGAAAGAGG
rnacentral:lncRNA from 1 species